rnacentral:rRNA from 1 species
ACUCAAAGGAAUUGACGGGGACCCGCACAAGCGGUGGAGCAUGUGGAUUAAUUCGAUACUAACCGAAGAACCUUACCCACUCUUGACAUCGAGGGAAAGGCCUAGAGAUAGGUCCCUCGCCCACAAGGCGACCCGAAGACAGAUGUUGCAUGGCUGUCGUCAGCUCGUGCCGUGAGGUGUACGGUUAAGUCCGCCAACGAGCGCAACCCUCGUCUUGUGUUACCAGCGAGUAAAGUCGGGCACUCACAAGAGACCGCCGGUGUAAGCCGGAGGAAGGUGGGGAUGAUGUCAAGUCAGCAUGGCUCUUACGAGUGGGGCUUCACACAUGCUACAAUGGGCGAAACAGAGGGCAGCGAUACCGCGAGGUGGAGCAAAUCCCAAAAAUACGCCCCCAGUUCAGAUUGCAGUCUGCAACUCGACUGCAUGAAGGCGGAAUCGCUAGUAAACGCAGGUCAGCUAUACUGCGUUGAAUACGUUCCCGGGUCUUGCACACACCGCCCGU